UCGCUAGUAAUCGCGGUCAGAACGCCGCGGUGAAUACGUUCCCGGGCCUUGUACACACCGCCCGUCACACCAUGGAAGUCUGCAAUGCCCAAAGCCGGUGGCCUAACCUUCGGGAAGGAGCCGUCUAAGGCAGGGCAGAUGACUGGGGUGAAGUCGUAACAAGGUAGCCGUAGGAGAACCUGCGGCUGGAUCACCUCCUUU
rnacentral:rRNA from 1 species